GAACGCACAUUGCGCCCCUUGGUAUUCCGGGGGGCAUGCCUGUUCGAGCGUCAUUACACCAAUCAAGCACAGCUUGGCAUUAGGUCUCUCGUCCGCGGUCAAACGCGGGCGGACCUCAAAAACUUCGGCGGAGUCAAUCCGGCUUCGGGCGUAGCAGAAUCUGUCAAAACGUCCGUGUGGCCGGGGGGAUUACAGCCGUCAAACCUCAUUUUUAUCAAGGUUGACCUCGGAUCAGGUAGGAAUACCCGCUGAACUUAAG
rnacentral:misc_RNA from 1 species